rnacentral:rRNA from 1 species
AUUGAACGCUGGCGGCAUGCCUUACACAUGCAAGUCGAACGGCAGCACGGGGGCAACCCUGGUGGCGAGUGGCGAACGGGUGAGUAAUGCAUCGGAACGUGCCCAGUAGUGGGGGACAACCAGUCGAAAGAUUGGCUAAUACCGCAUACGACCUAUGGGUGAAAGCGGGGGACCGUAAGGCCUCGCGCUAUUGGAGCGGCCGAUGUCUGAUUAGCUAGUUGGUGAGGUAAAAGCUCACCAAGGCGACGAUCAGUAGCUGGUCUGAGAGGACGACCAGCCACGCUGGGACUGAGACACGGCCCAGACUCCUACGGGAGGCAGCAGUGGGGAAUUUUGGACAAUGGGCGCAAGCCUGAUCCAGCCAUGCCGCGUGCGGGAAGAAGGCCUUCGGGUUGUAAACCGCUUUUGGCAGGAACGAAACGGCGACUCUUAAUACGGGUCGUUAAUGACGGUACCUGCAGAAUAAGCACCGGCUAACUACGUGCCAGCCGCCGCAGUAAAAC